UACGGAGGAUCCAAGCGUUAUCCGGAAUCAUUGGGUUUAAAGGGUCCGUAGGCGGUUUAAUAAGUCAGUGGUGAAAUCUGGUCGCUCAACGAUCAAACGGCCAUUGAUACUGUUAGACUUGAAUUACUGGGAAGUAACUAGAAUAUGUAGUGUAGCGGUGAAAUGCUUAGAUAUUACAUGGAAUACCAAUUGCGAAGGCAGGUUGCUGGGCCGAUACUGACGCUGAGGCGCGAAAGCCAGGGGAGCAAACGGG
rnacentral:rRNA from 1 species